UACGAAGGGACCUAGCGUAGUUCGGAAUUACUGGGCUUAAAGAGCUCGUAGGUGGUUAGAAAAGUUAGUGGUGAAAGCCCAAGGCUUAACCUUGGAACUGCCACUAAAACUUUUUGACUAGAGUAUGAUAGAGGUAAGCGGAAUUUCUAGUGUAGAGGUGAAAUUCGUAGAUAUUAGAAAGAACACCAAUUGCGAAGGCAGCUUUCUGGAUCAUUACUGACACUGAGGAGCGAAAGCAUGGGUAGCGAAGAGG
rnacentral:rRNA from 1 species